UACAGAGGGUGCAAGCGUUAAUCGGAAUUACUGGGCGUAAAGCGCACGUAGGUGGCUUGAUAAGUUGGGUGUGAAAUCCCCGGGCUUAACCUGGGAAUUGCAUUCAAGACUGUCUUGCUAGAGUGUGGAAGAGGGAAGCGGAAUUCCAGGUGUAGCGGUGAAAUGCGUAGAUAUCAGGAGGAACACCGGUGGUGUAGACGGCUUACUGGACCAUAACUGACGCUGAGACACGAAAGCGUGGGUAGCAAACAGG
rnacentral:rRNA from 1 species